rnacentral:rRNA from 1 species
AGAGUUUGAUGCUGGCUCAGGACGAACGCUGACGGCGUGGAUUAGGCAUGCAAGUCGAGCGAGAAUCCGGGAUUUGACUCUUCGGAUGAUUAUUCUGGAGGACAGCGGCGAACGGGUGAGUAACACGCAACCAACCUACCCCUUGGACCGGGAUAACUGCGGGAGACUGCAGCUAAUACCGGAUGUGACCACCGGGCCGCAUGGCCUGGUGAGGAAAGGUGCUUGCACCGCUACGGGAGGGGGUUGCGGCCUAUUAGCUAGAUGGUGAGGUAACGGCUCACCAUGGCGACGAUGGGUAGCUGGUCUGAGAGGACGAUCAGCCACACUGGGACUGAGACACUGCCCAGACUCCUACGGGAGGCUGCAGUCGAGAAUCUUCCACAAUGGGCGAAAGCCUGAUGGAGCAACGCCGUGUGAGUGACGAAGGCCUUCGGGUCGUAAAGCUCUUUUCGGGAAGAAGAAUGCCCGCAAGGGUUUGACGGUACUCCCGGAAUAAGCCCCGGCUAACUACGUGCCAGCAGCCGCGGUAAUACGUAGGGGGCAAGCGUUGUCCGGAAUUACUGGGCGUAAAGCGUCCGCAGGCGGUCCGGUCAGUGGUGCGUGAAAGCCCAGAGCUCAACUCUGGAAUGCCGUGCCAUACUGCCGGACUUGAGUGCAGGAGAGGAGAGCGGAAUUCCCGGUGUAGCGGUGAUAUGCGUAGAGAUCGGGAAGAACACCAGUGGCGAAGGCGGCUCUCUGGACUGCUACUGACGCUCAGGGACGAAAGCCAGGGUAGCGAACGGGAUUAGAUACCCCGGUAGUCCUGGCCUUAAACGAUGGUCACUAGGUGUUGGAGGCAUCGACCCCUUCAGUGCCGCAGCUAACGCAUUAAGUGACCCGCCUGGGGAGUACGUCCGCAAGGAUGAAACUCAAAGCAAUUGACGGGGGCCCGCACAAGCGGUGGAGCAUGUGGCUUAAUUCGACGAUACGCGAAGAACCUUACCAGGGCUUGACAUCCCCUGACAUCCUGCGAAAGCAGGCUUCUUCGGACAGGGAGACAGGUGGUGCAUGGCUGUCGUCAGCUCGUGUCGUGAGAUGUUGGGUUAAGUCCCGCAACGAGCGCAACCCUCACCCUUAGUUGCCAGCGAGUCAUGUCGGGAACUCUAAGGGAACUGCCAGAGCAAUCUGGAGGAAGGUGGGGAUGACGUCAAGUCCGCAUGCCCCUUACGUCCUGGGCUGCACACAUGCUACAAUGACCGGUACAAAGGGCAGCAAGACCGCGAGGUGGAGCGAAUCCCAAAAAAACCGGCCUCAGUUCGGAUUGGAGUCUGCAACUCGACUCCAUGAAGUUGGAAUCGCUAGUAACCGCAGGUCAGCAAUACUGCGGUGAAUACGUUCCCGGGCCUUGUACACACCGCCCGUCACGCCACGAAAGCUGGAGGUGCCCGAAGUCGCUGGCCCAACUCGCAAGAGAGGGAGGCGCCGAAGGCAAAACCAGUGAUUGGGACGAAGUCGUAACAAGGUA